rnacentral:rRNA from 1 species
CAGUCGCCACGGUAAUACGAAGGGGGCUAGCGUUGCUCGGAAUGACUGGGCGUAAAGGGCGCGUAGGCGGAUUGUUUAGUUAGGCGUGAAAUUCCUGGGCUUAACCUGGGGACUGCGCUUAAUACAGGCAGUCUAGAGUGAGGAAGAGGGUUGUGGAAUUCCCAGUGUAGAGGUGAAAUUCGUAGAUAUUGGGAAGAACACCGGUGGCGAAGGCGGCAACCUGGUCCUUGACUGACGCUGAGGCGCGAAAGCUAGGGGAGCAAACAGGAUUAGAUACCCCGGUAGUCCCUGUCUCUUAUAC